AAGAAACUUUGUGGGUUUUUCUCUUCCCAUGAGACUUCCAACAUUUUUUGACCAGGUUCAGUUACAGCCCUUUUCCAAAUUUACACUGAGGUGAGGAGAACUGGAAAACAGUCCAUUGGGAAAUCAUACAAGAGUGGGUUCAUGUGACAGAUCUUUCUGCAACUUGUCAUGCUGUGAAUAGCAGGGCAACAGCCUUUCAGCACUCAACCAUGUCACUGCCUGCCUUGCUUUUGAUGGAACUGGGUUAACCUGUGUAUCCAGCUGCAAAGGCAUUUUCUGGAUAAGAGUGCGGUUGAGCAGGAAGGAAAUCUGAAAGCUCCAUGACACCAUGGAAAAGGAUCAAAUUCUCCUGGCAGAAGGUUUCCACAUCUGACACCACCUUUCUGGAAGAACACAAGAACAGAAGCCAUAAGAACACAGAAAUCAGAAGACACCUGCAUCGCUAAUAACUUUACAAUUUUCCCUUUGCCUGUCUUUGCAUUAAAGAAAGAAAA